UAUGUGGCUUGAACGCCAUUAUAUUGACCAGACAUAUUCCUCGCCCCGUCGAAUCUCUGGCCGAUCAAGAAAGUAAUAUCCAGUUCGAAAUUUUGAAGAUUUUCAACCAUUAGCUUGGCAAGGACAUUACCUCGAAAAAAAGCAAAUUUCUGGACGGAUUUAUAUUAUAAUAUGAUUUUUACCUGUAGUGGAAGCUGUUGGGAUAAACUUCACAAAAUCUUAAUGUACAAUAUGCUGGCCAUCGUCUUUCUUAAUCACGUAUCGAAUGCAGUUGCUUUGAUUGCAGCUAUCAGUUUUCGAGUCAAUAUCUCAUAACAUGCAUCGAUAAUUUCGUUUUGGACAGUAGGGCUUGUAUAUUUCCCUGGACCUUCUAAAUGACUGGGA